rnacentral:tRNA from 1 species
GAGGAUAUAGCUUAGUUGGUAGAGUGCUUGCCUCCCAUGCACAAGGCCCUGGGUUUGAUCCCCAGAGUUUCA